rnacentral:rRNA from 1 species
GAUGAACGCUGGCGGCGUGCCUAGUACAUGCAAGUCGAGCGAACGGACGAGAAGCUUGCUUUUCUGAUGUUAGCGGCGGACGGGUGAGUAACACGUGGAUAACCUACCUAUAAGACUGGGAUAACUUCGGGAAACCGGAGCUAAUACCGGAUAAUAUUUUGAACCGCAUGGUUCAAAAGUGAAAGACGGUCUUGCUGUCACUUAUAGAUGGAUCCGCGCUGCAUUAGCUAGUUGGUAAGGUAACGGCUUACCAAGGCAACGAUGCAUAGCCGACCUGAGAGGGUGAUCGGACACACUGGAACUGAGACACGGUCCAGACUCCUACGGGAGGCAGCAGUAGGGAAUCUUCCGCAAUGGGCGAAAGCCUGACGGAGCAAAGCCGCGUGAGUGAUGAAGGUCUUCGGAUCGUAAAACUCUGUUAUUAGGGAAGAACAUAUGUGUAAGUAACUGUGCACAUCUUGACGGUAACUAAUCAGAAAGCCACGGCUAACUACGUG